ACACAGGCAACACGGAAAGAGCUGGCUUGCGAGCUCCCUGCUUAACAGAAGGCUCAGUUGCCCAAGUGACGAAGGCAUUGUGGGGCACGAACCAGGCUUUGGUGAAUUUAUCUCAUUAUACACCAGGAGUUAUAAUUUAAAAACCAGUGUCAUAUAAAGAAGAAAAAAGAUAUGGUGAGAUACAAUACCAUUAACACUUCUUCAGAAACGGAUUUUAAAGCAGAACUUCCAUGACUGUGAAAUCCAACCGGGUGCGCGACCACGAGGAAGGAUGGCGAGGGAGGAAACCGCGCUUUGUUGUUGAGUCUCUGUUUCAUACAGGUCAGUAUUAUUUUCCAGCUACAUUGUGGAGUUCUUCAGAAGAGUCUGGUUUUCACAAUUAAUUAAUUAGUUAAUGUAAUGAAAGGACAGAAGGCAAAGGACAAUAUCUGGACAGAGAUUCAGGUGUUCACGGAUAAUGAAGCUGAUGUGAGAGCCCUGGAGAGAAACAUCAGUCAAAGGCAUGCAGGUUGUGAAUACAAACCUCACUUGUUUCCAGACAGAUUCUUCAUCAUAAUGAUUAGGACAAUGACAGUACAAACAUUCUCAUCCUACAAAAAUAAGUAAUCACAACCACACCUUAUCCAAUAUCUGUACAGCAAUUGUGCCAUACACAUUAAAUUCAGAUUUUUAUAAUGUAAUUUAAUCUGUAUUUCAAGCCACAAUCUUGCUGAAGUUCAUAAUGUUUUGUUCCAACCAUUCUUGUAAUCCCCUCUGGUGACAUGCCAUGGUGCCAGCAUCUUAGUUGUUCCCAUGGCACUAGUAGGUGGAGGCAUCGAGACUGCUGUGUCCUCUCUUCUUGCAGGGAAUCCCAUCCAGCGUCCCUCUACUCUCCUCUGCAGCUUCCAUGGUUGGAAUGCUGAGCCAUUGCUAGGACGAUGAGGCUACAGGAAAGUGAAAUGCACCUGCUGCGAUCUGAUCCAACUGACCACUCCUGCUGCUCCUCCCUUGCACCUCAGGCAUCUCCUUCCAAUCUGGAGGAAACACUUUUACCUCCACUUUUCUUUUACAGUCCUCCAAACUCUGUUCCUUCUAGGGAGCACAAGUACAGAAAUAGAAACCUGGACUCCCAUCAUCCUGCUUCACAAACUUACAAUGUUAAAGAAAGAAAAAAAAAAAGACCAAGUACAUUACCUGGUAGAAUUGGAGAGAUGGGCACGAAAGAGCUGUAAAUACAGUUAGAAAACACACUAGCAUUUACAAAUGUGUAUGAGAAACAAUGAGGAGGAUUUUCAGAGACUAUCAUAACCAUUUAUUUUUCUAAUAUGUGAUAAGUAAACGCACAGAAAAUCAAUUUAAUAUUUGGGGCUUUUAUUUCUCAUUUUUUAGAUUGCCAGAAAGACUGUCCAGUGUUAUAAAGUUUGUGUCAAUAUUCUGGAAUUGGCAAUUUUGUCAUUUAUAUGGGAGAAAUAGCUAAAGGUGUAGUAUAAAGUAUUUGCUCGUAGGUAAUGGAAUGUUACCUUUACCCAAAGAUAUAAAAAAUAAACGGUAGAACAAAAACUCA
ensembl:lncRNA LINC02645 long intergenic non-protein coding RNA 2645